UAGGGAAUCUUGCGCAAUGGGCGAAAGCCUGACGCAGCAACGCCGCGUGGGGGAAGAAGGCUCUCGGGUCGUAAACCCCUUUCAGCAGGGACGAAAAUGACGGUACCUGCAGAAGAAGCGCCGGCCAACUACGUGCCAGCAGCCGCGGUAAUACGUAGGGCGCAAGCGUUGUCCGGAUUUAUUGGGCGUAAAGGGCUCGUAGGCGGUUCGGUAAGUCGGGUGUGAAAACUCAGGGCUCAACUCUGAGACGCCACUCGAUACUGCCAUGACUAGAGUCCGGUAGAGGAGUGCGGAAUUCCUGGUGUAGCGGUGAAAUGCGCAGAUAUCAGGAGGAACACCAACAGCGAAGGCAGCACUCUGGGCCGGUACUGACGCUGAGGAGCGAAAGCGUGGGGAGCAAACAGG
rnacentral:rRNA from 1 species